AUAAACCGGUUUAAGGGAGGAGGCGACUUUUUUUUUCUAGACAUGGCGAGUUUCGAGAGAUUCGAACCCGUAUUCGGAGAAGUCGUACCCGAACGCUCGGAUCCGGGUUCGGGUCUACUCCGGCGGUGUCUCUUCCACGUCUACGCUUCCGAUUCGUUUCACCUCACCGUCCAUGUGACGGACUUUAUCACCGGGGCCUGGGAGACGAUCCUCUCCGUCUCGCAGCUAGACGAUAUGAGGGAUACUGUUGGCAUUGGUGGAACGUGGUCUGAGUUCCUCGAUUACACUGUUGCUUCUUUGAAAUCCGAAAACGUGAAGCUUCUCCUUGGUGAUCAUUCAAUUUCCAAAGGUGUAGAGAGUGCGAGGUUAGUUUCCCAGAAGGCCAAAGGAAUGCCUCGCAUAGUAGUUACUCUAACAAAGAUGGCUGAAUCAUCUGCUAGUGAGGCAAUGGCAACUCUGUCUCUCGAGUUGUUCAGAUCAUUCAAGAGAAAGCAACACUUACAAGGGGAAACGAGCACUUCAGCUGCGGCAACUGAUGAAAAGGAUAAGAGGGACGCUUCCCAUAACCAACCGGAACGAUACUCUGGAAAACUAGAUGUUAUGGCUCCAUCAAUAGAUAACCGGCAAGACUCUCCCGCCAAGCAAUCAACUCGAGAAGCUAAUAUAAUAAAGCCUUCUAAACGAGUGCCUGCUCACCGGAGAACCCGUAAACGAGGUGCUCUUCUGCAGGACUCAGAUGAAGAGGACGGCUAACGCUCUGGAUCUCAUGGGGAGUUAUGCUUAAUGCUCUUAUUAAUUUCCCAGUGUUUCCUCCAAGCACAAAUUAUUACGUAUCCAAGAUAUGAACAAAGCAUACACACCAGUUACCAGUUCAGACACAUACAGAUAGAGUACAGUUUGGGUUGUGCGUUUCAGAAAUGAGUUUCUCCUCUUCCAUGGCUUCUCUGACUGCCUUCAAAACGCAUGGCUUGAGUUUCUUGGUGGUAACAAUGAUCCCUGUCUUGUGAUCAAGAUAUUUUCCUUUCGAGAAGUCCAGAGACUUCCCUGCAGCAUCGCAAACCACGCCUCCAGCUUCUGCACAAGGUUAUAUUUUGUUCACUUCCCUAUUUAACCCGUUGCUGUGAAUUAGAGCUCACAGUUCUCAGUGUUAAAAAAAAAAAGGGUUUUAUUUACAGUACCUGUUGUGAUGAUGAAACCAGGGGCAUGGUCCCAUAUAGUCUCACGGUGUCCACAGAGAGUGAAACGCAAAUAUAUCUCUGCGUCUCCUCUGGACACUGCUGCAUACUUUGCUUGGCUAUCCAUCCUUACUGGUAAUGCUGUGAUCCCAAGUUUCUGCUCUAACCGUAACCAUACCGGUUUACUAAAGAAGAAUCCUACGUGGUUAUGCCUACAUGAGGGCAAUACUGUAACACAAGAAAGUAAGACAUUACCUCGGCAAUGGAACUAUGGAUGGGAAUUGGUUUGUGGUAUGAUUCUAAGAACUUUGCUUCUUCAAGAUUCUCAUUGCUACUCACUCGUACCUGUCAACACAGCUUUCACUCUCUUUUAACACUUAUUACACGGUUCAGCUUUGGAUAAGGUAGAUGAUGAUACCUUCUGUGGCAGAGAAUGGCCUUCAACCGGUUGCACGUAGGCCCCUAAACCAGCUGUAGCAAAGAAAAGACAGCCAACAUUCUCCUUGGAAGACAUGUCUGUCUCACCAACCGCAGAAGCUAAAGGAAGAUUCGGACAAGCCAUGACACCAAGCACCACUUUGCCUUCCACAAGCAACGCUAAUCCCACAGCGUACUGCUCUCCUCUCACAAAUCUAAACAAGCAGAGAAUCUUAUUACUCGGGAAGGUAAAGCGUAUCAAAAGAUAUUGAUUACAGAGAUGUGUUACCCUCUGGUUCCAUCUAUAGGAUCAAGAACCCAGUGGUAACCACUGCAACCACCUUCUGAUUUACCGCAGUCUAUAGCGUUCAACACAUCUUCUGUGGAUAGAGGAGGAGAGUCUGCGUAUGAUUCCUCAGAAGCUAGAGUAUCUUUCACUAGCUUCGUAAUACCUUCUAGAAACACCUCACUUCCCUGCUUCCGCAGUUCUCCGGUUUCCUACAAGAAUAUGAUAAAAUCAUUUAACGCUAUAAGACAUCUGAUUAACGAUUGUGUUUUAGAGUUACUGCACACCUCUUCUGCUACUAAUGAAAAGGUUGCAGGUUGAAGCUCCCUCUCUAAUACAAUACUAACAAGAGCUUGUGACCCUGAAGAAACAAAUCCAUUAAUGGUAGAGUUAAGUGAACUUUAAACUUCAAAAGCUGAGGUACAAACCAAAAUCAGCUGCAGUAACCGGAGUUCUGUCUGAUUUUGUCCAUACUUCGGACUGAAACAGAGUCUUCUGUACUCCCUACAUCAUAUUCAUAUAAGACAAGGUUUGGAAUCGGUUCUAGCUCCAAGUGAUGAUUAAUUUCAAUGAUAGAUGGUAACACUUUCUUACUUGGCUGAGACGAGCAGCUAGAGAAACGGCUUUCUUUGCAGCGGCUAGCUCUUUCUCGUAAGACAUUUUACAAAGCUUCAAGAAUAUAAAUAUCAACAACACUUUAUGCUAUAUGGAAUAUGGUUCUAGUGAACCACAAUCCAUAGACGUUUGUUACAUAUAUACAAUUCAUAGAUUAUAUUUUACGUUUAAAACGGA